GGUUAAGCGACUAAGCGUACACGGUGGAUGCCCUGGCAGUCAGAGGCGAUGAAGGGCGUGCUAAUCUGCGAUAAGCGCCGGUAAGGUGAUAUGAACCGUUAUAACCGGCGAUACCCGAAUGGGGAAACCCAGUGUGACUCGUCACACUAUCAUUAACUGAAUCCAUAGGUUAAUGAGGCGAACCGGGGGAACUGAAACAUCUAAGUACCCCGAGGAAAAGAAAUCAACCGAGAUUCCCCCAGUAGCGGCGAGCGAACGGGGAGGAGCCCAGAGCCUGAAUCAGCAUGUGUGUUAGUGGAAGCGUCUGGAAAGGCGCGCGAUACAGGGUGACAGCCCCGUACACAAAAGCGCAUGUGCUGUGAGCUCGAUGAGUAGGGCGGGACACGUGGUAUCCUGUCUGAAUAUGGGGGGACCAUCCUCCAAGGCUAAAUACUCCUGACUGACCGAUAGUGAACCAGUACCGUGAGGGAAAGGCGAAAAGAACCCCGGCGAGGGGAGUGAAAAAGAACCUGAAACCGUGUACGUACAAGCAGUGGGAGCACCCUUUGGGGUGUGACUGCGUACCUUUUGUAUAAUGGGUCAGCGACUUAUAUUCUGUAGCAAGGUUAACCGAAUAGGGGAGCCGGAGGGAAACCGAGUCUUAAUUGGGCGUUAAGUUGCAGGGUAUAGACCCGAAACCCGGUGAUCUAGCCAUGGGCAGGUUGAAGGUUGGGUAACACUAACUGGAGGACCGAACCGACUAAUGUUGAAAAAUUAGCGGAUGACCUGUGGCUGGGGGUGAAAGGCCAAUCAAACCGGGAGAUAGCUGGUUCUCCCCGAAAGCUAUUUAGGUAGCGCCUCGUGAAUUCAUCUCCGGGGGUAGAGCACUGUUUCGGCUAGGGGGCCAUCCCGGCUUACCAACCCGAUGCAAACUGCGAAUACCGGAGAAUGUUAUCACGGGAGACACACGGCGGGUGCUAACGUCCGUCGUGAAGAGGGAAACAACCCAGACCGCCAGCUAAGGUCCCAAAGUCAUGGUUAAGUGGGAAACGAUGUGGGAAGGCCCAGACAGCCAGGAUGUUGGCUUAGAAGCAGCCAUCAUUUAAAGAAAGCGUAAUAGCUCACUGGUCGAGUCGGCCUGCGCGGAAGAUGUAACGGGGCUAAACCAUGCACCGAAGCUGCGGCAGCGACACUCAGGUGUUGUUGGGUAGGGGAGCGUUCUGUAAGCCUGCGAAGGUGGCCUGUGAGGGUUGCUGGAGGUAUCAGAAGUGCGAAUGCUGACAUAAGUAACGAUAAAGCGGGUGAAAAGCCCGCUCGCCGGAAGACCAAGGGUUCCUGUCCAACGUUAAUCGGGGCAGGGUGAGUCGACCCCUAAGGCGAGGCCGAAAGGCGUAGUCGAUGGGAAACGGGUUAAUAUUCCCGUACUUGGUGUUACUGCGAAGGGGGGACGGAGAAGGCUAUGUUGGCCGGGCGACGGUU
rnacentral:rRNA from 1 species